GUUAGCUCUAGAGAGGGUGUUGUCAGAAAGUAGAGCCAGUCCUCCGACUGGACGUCUCAGGAAAUCCGUGUGCAGAGGAGACUACAAGGAGAUGGAGCUGUGACGGACAGGGCAGCAGCCGCUGACUUUCCCGAGAGAGGUGUGCUCGGGAUUUCUGCUGUGGGUGAUUCGACAACCUUGAUUCUGACUGUGUACGGGGAGUGUGGCCACUUCUGAUUUCCAUUAUAAAGCAUCCACAGCAGUGAUUUUCACGGCUCCAUUCCGAUUCAGGGCUGCAACACCAUGUGAAGUACAGAUUGCUGAGGUGUCUUCAGUCAGGUGAGCAAACGCUGAAACAGAAGACAUAGAACCGGUUGUGCUCUGGGCUGGGCAGCCUGUUUCUAAAUUAAUUGUAUGUUUUGAAAAAAAAUAUUCCACAGAGAUUAAAAAAGAAGGAGUUGAAAGGUAGCCCGAGGGAGCAUGGUGACUCAGACUGCAGACAAAUAAAUUACACCUUUGAUACAGA
rnacentral:lncRNA from 1 species